AUUGAACGCUGGCGGCAUGCUUUACACAUGCAAGUCGAACGGUAACAGGUUAAGCUGACGAGUGGCGAACGGGUGAGUAAUGCAUCGGAACGUGCCCGAUCGUGGGGGAUAACGCAGCGAAAGCUGCGCUAAUACCGCAUACGAUCUGAGGAUGAAAGCGGGGGACCGUAAGGCCUCGCGCGAGCGGAUCGGCCGAUGUCAGAGUAGGCAGUUGGUGGGGUAAAGGCUCACGAAGCCAACGAUCUGUAGCUGGUCUGAGAGGGCGACCAGCCCAACUGGGACUGGGACACGGCGCAGACUCCUACGGGAGGCAGCAGUGGGGAAUUUUGGACAAUGGGCGAAAGCCUGAUCUAGCAAUGCCGCGUGCAGGAAGAAGGCCUUCGGGUUGUAAACUGCUUUUGUACGGAGCGAAAAGGCCCUGUCUAAUACAGUAGGCUCAUGACGGUACCGUAAGAAUAAGCACCGGCUAACUACGUGCCAGCCGCCGCCGUAA
rnacentral:rRNA from 1 species